GAUGAACGCUAGCGGGAGGCCUAACACAUGCAAGCCGAGCGGUAGAGAUUCUUCGGAAUCUUGAGAGCGGCGUACGGGUGCGGAACACGUGUGCAACCUACCUUUAUCUGGAGGAUAGCCUUUCGAAAGGAAGAUUAAUACUCCAUAAUAUAUUGAUUGGCAUCAAUUGAUAUUGAAAGCUCCGGCGGAUAGAGAUGGGCACGCGCAAGAUUAGUUAGUUGGUGAGGUAACGGCUCACCAAGACGAUGAUCUUUAGGGGCCUGAGAGGGUGAUCCCCCACACUGGUACUGAGACACGGACCAGACUCCUACGGGAGGCAGCAGCGAGGAAUAUUGGUCAAUGGGUGCAAGCCUGAACCAGCCAUCCCGCGUGAAGGACGACUGCCCUAUGGGUUGUAAACUUCUUUUGUAUAGGGAUAACCUACCCUCGUGAGGGUAGCUGAAGGUACUAUACGAAUAAGCACCGGCUAACU
rnacentral:rRNA from 1 species